GGAUUGUUGCGUUAAAUUAGCGAUUGCGACAUCGAGUGACACAGGUUUGAAGACGCAAUAUGAAGCUGCAAGCGAUUAGUAGGUUUUCUUUAGGGUUUUAAUUGCUUUCAUAGAGUCCCCUCGCUGUUAUCCCUUGAGAUUUUAUUUUACAUAGAGGGGUAGGUUUGAUAUAUUAUAUUUGAGUUUCAUUUGGUUUCUUUUGUAUAAGAAUUAUUAUUAAUAAUAUUUAUGUGAUUAUUAUUACUUGUAAAU